rnacentral:rRNA from 1 species
GUCUACAGCCAUGCCACCCUGAACAAGCCCAAUGUCUGAUCUCAGAAGCUAAGCAGGGUCAGGCCUGGUUAGUAAUUGGAUGGGAGACCACCCAGGAAGUCCAGGUGCUGGAGGCA